rnacentral:rRNA from 1 species
UGUAGUAAUACAAGGCAGACGGCUCAGUAACGCGUAGUCAACCUACCCUAUGGACGGGGAUAACCUCGGGAAACUGAGAAUAAUACCCGAUAGAACAUUAUGCCUGGAAUGGUUUAUGUUUCAAAUAAUUUAUUGCCGUAGGAUGGGACUGCGGCCUAUCAGUUUGUUGGUGAGGUAAUGGCCCACCAAGACUAUUACAGGUACGGGCUCUGAGAGGAGUAGCCCGGAGAUGGGUACUGAGACACGGACCCAGGCCCUAUGGGGCGCAGCAGGCGAGAAAACUUUGCAAUGUGCGAAAGCACGACAAGGUUAAUCCGAGUGGUUUCUGCUAAAGGAACCUUUUGUCAGUCCUAGAAACACUGAUGAAUAAGGGGUGGGCAAGUUCUGGUGUCAGCCGCCGCGGUAAAACCAGCACCUCAAGUGGUCAGGAUGAUUAUUGGGCCUAAAGCAUCCGUAGCCUGCUUUGUAAGUUUUCGGUUAAAUCCAUACGCUCAACGUAUGGGCUGCCGGGAAUACUGCAAAGCUAGGGAGUGGGAGAGGUAGACGGUACUCGGUAGGAAGGGGUAAAAUCCUUUGAUCUAUUGAUGACCACCUGUGGCGAAGGCGGUCUACCAGAACACGUCCGACGGUGAGGGAUGAAAGCUGGGGGAGCAAACCGGAUUAGAUACCCGGGUAGUCCCAGCUGUAAACUAUGCAAACUCAGUGAUGCAUUGGCUUGAUGCCAAUGCAGUGCUGCAGGGAAGCCGUUAAGUUUGCCGCCUGGGAAGUACGUACGCAAGUAUGAAACUUAAAGGAAUUGGCGGGGGAGCACCACAAGGGGUGAAGCCUGCGGUUCAAUUGGA